rnacentral:rRNA from 1 species
GUGGGGAAUAUUGGACAAUGGGCGCAAGCCUGAUCCAGCCAUGCCGCGUGAGUGAUGAAGGCCCUAGGGUUGUAAAGCUCUUUCACCGGUGAAGAUAAUGACGGUAACCGGAGAAGAAGCCCCGGCUAACUUCGUGCCAGCAGCCGCGGUAAUACGAAGGGGGCUAGCGUUGUUCGGAAUUACUGGGCGUAAAGCGCACGUAGGCGGGUAUUUAAGUCAGGGGUAAAAUCCCGGAGCUCAAAUCCGGAACUGCCUUUGAUACUGGGUACCUAGAGUAUGGAAGAGGUACGUGGAAUUCCGAGUGUAGAGGUGAAAUUCGUAGAUAUUCGCAGGAACACCAGUGGCGAAGGCGGCUGACUGGUCCAUUACUGACGCUGAGGUGCGAAAGCGUGGGGAGCAAACAGGAUUAGAAACCCGUGUAGUCC